rnacentral:rRNA from 1 species
UCGGCGUCCCUAAUACAUGCAAGUGGAUCGGACAGAAGGGAGCUUGCUCCCGUAUGUUAGCGGCGGACGGGUGAGUAACACGUGGGUAACCUGCCUGUAAGACUGGGAUAACUCCGGGAAACCGGAGCUAAUACCGGAUAGUUCCUUGAACCGCACGGUUCAAGGAUGAAAGACGGUUUCGGCUGUCACUUACAGAUGGACCCGCGGCGCAUUAGCUAGUUGGUGAGGUAACGGCUCACCAAGGCGACGAUGCGUAGCCGACCUGAGAGGGUGAUCGGCCACACUGGGACUGAGACACGGCCCAGACUCCUACGGGAGGCAGCAGUAGGGAAUCUUCCGCAAUGGACGAAAGUCUGACGGAGCAACGCCGCGUGAGUGAUGAAGGUUUUCGGAUCGUAAAGCUCUGUUGUUAGGGAAGAACAAGUGCAAGAGUAACUGCUUGCACCUUGACGGUACCUAACCAGAAAGCCACGGCUAACUACGUGCCAGCAGCCGCGGUAAUACGUAGGUGGCAAGCGUUGUCCGGAAUUAUUGGGCGUAAAGGGCUCGCAGGCGGUUUCUUAAGUCUGAUGUGAAAGCCCCCGGCUCAACCGGGGAGGGUCAUUGGAAACUGGGAAACUUGAGUGCAGAAGAGGAGAGUGGAAUUCCACGUGUAGCGGUGAAAUGCGUAGAGAUGUGGAGGAACACCAGUGGCGAAGGCGACUCUCUGGUCUGUAACUGACACUAACGAGCGAAACCGUGGGGAGCGAACAGGAU